rnacentral:ribozyme from 14 species
UUCUCGAUCCUCCCCAUUGUUUUUGUUCUUUUUUCUUUUCUUUUUCUUUUCUUUUU